rfam:Basidiobolus meristosporus CBS 931.73 K493scaffold_371, whole genome shotgun sequence.
GGAGAAAUGGCCAAGUUGGUCUAAGGCGUCACUUUAAGGACAUGUUCUCUUUAGAGGCGUGGGUUUAAAUCCUACUCUCUUCA